rnacentral:rRNA from 1 species
GGGUUGUGAGGUUAAGCGACUAAGCGUACACGGUGGAUGCCCUGGCAGUCAGAGGCGAUGAAGGGCGUGCUAAUCUGCGAUAAGCGCCGGUAAGGUGAUAUGAACCGUUAUAACCGGCGAUACCCGAAUGGGGAAACCCAGUGUGAUUCGUCACACUAUCAUUAACUGAAUCCAUAGGUUAAUGAGGCGAACCGGGGGAACUGAAACAUCUAAGUACCCCGAGGAAAAGAAAUCAACCGAGAUUCCCCCAGUAGCGGCGAGCGAACGGGGAGGAGCCCAGAGCCUGAAUCAGCAUGUGUGUUAGUGGAAGCGUCUGGAAAGGCGCGCGAUACAGGGUGACAGCCCCGUACACAAAAGCGCAUGUGCUGUGAGCUCGAUGAGUAGGGCGGGACACGUGGUAUCCUGUCUGAAUAUGGGGGGACCAUCCUCCAAGGCUAAAUACUCCUGACUGACCGAUAGUGAACCAGUACCGUGAGGGAAAGGCGAAAAGAACCCCGGCGAGGGGAGUGAAAAAGAACCUGAAACCGUGUACGUACAAGCAGUGGGAGCNNGUGACUGCGUACCUUUUGUAUAAUGGGUCAGCGACUUAUAUUCUGUAGCAAGGUUAACCGAAUAGGGGAGCCGGAGGGAAACCGAGUCUUAAUUGGGCGUUAAGUUGCAGGGUAUAGACCCGAAACCCGGUGAUCUAGCCAUGGGCAGGUUGAAGGUUGGGUAACACUAACUGGAGGACCGAACCGACUAAUGUUGAAAAAUUAGCGGAUGACCUGUGGCUGGGGGUGAAAGGCCAAUCAAACCGGGAGAUAGCUGGUUCUCCCCGAAAGCUAUUUAGGUAGCGCCUCGUGAAUUCAUCUCCGGGGGUAGAGCACUGUUUCGGCUAGGGGGCCAUCCCGGCUUACCAACCCGAUGCAAACUGCGAAUACCGGAGAAUGUUAUCACGGGAGACACACGGCGGGUGCUAACGUCCGUCGUGAAGAGGGAAACAACCCAGACCGCCAGCUAAGGUCCCAAAGUCAUGGUUAAGUGGGAAACGAUGUGGGAAGGCCCAGACAGCCAGGAUGUUGGCUUAGAAGCAGCCAUCAUUUAAAGAAAGCGUAAUAGCUCACUGGUCGAGUCGGCCUGCGCGGAAGAUGUAACGGGGCUAAACCAUGCACCGAAGCUGCGGCAGCGACACUGUGUGUUGUUGGGUAGGGGAGCGUUCUGUAAGCCUGUGAAGGUGUGUCGUGAGGCAUGCUGGAGGUAUCAGAAGUGCGAAUGCUGACAUAAGUAACGAUAAAGCGGGUGAAAAGCCCGCUCGCCGGAAGACCAAGGGUUCCUGUCCAACGUUAAUCGGGGCAGGGUGAGUCGACCCCUAAGGCGAGGCCGAAAGGCGUAGUCGAUGGGAAACGGGUUAAUAUUCCCGUACUUGGUGUUACUGCGAAGGGGGGACGGAGAAGGCUAUGUUGGCCGGGCGACGGUUGUCCCGGUUUAAGCGUGUAGGUGUGUGUUCCAGGUAAAUCCGGUUCACUUUAACACUGAGGCGUGACGACGAGGCACUACGGUGCUGAAGCAACAAAUGCCCUGCUUCCAGGAAAAGCCUCUAAGCAUCAGGUAACAUCAAAUCGUACCCCAAACCGACACAGGUGGUCAGGUAGAGAAUACCAAGGCGCUUGAGAGAACUCGGGUGAAGGAACUAGGCAAAAUGGUGCCGUAACUUCGGGAGAAGGCACGCUGACACGUAGGUGAAGUGAUUUACUCAUGGAGCUGAAGUCAGUCGAAGAUACCAGCUGGCUGCAACUGUUUAUUAAAAACACAGCACUGUGCAAACACGAAAGUGGACGUAUACGGUGUGACGCCUGCCCGGUGCCGGAAGGUUAAUUGAUGGGGUCAGCGCAAGCGAAGCUCCUGAUCGAAGCCCCGGUAAACGGCGGCCGUAACUAUAACGGUCCUAAGGUAGCGAAAUUCCUUGUCGGGUAAGUUCCGACCUGCACGAAUGGCGUAAUGAUGGCCAGGCUGUCUCCACCCGAGACUCAGUGAAAUUGAACUCGCUGUGAAGAUGCAGUGUACCCGCGGCAAGACGGAAAGACCCCGUGAACCUUUACUAUAGCUUGACACUGAACAUUGAGCCUUGAUGUGUAGGAUAGGUGGGAGGCUUUGAAGUGUGGACGCCAGUCUGCAUGGAGCCGACCUUGAAAUACCACCCUUUAAUGUUUGAUGUUCUAACGUGGACCCGUUACCCGGGUUGCGGACAGUGUCUGGUGGGUAGUUUGACUGGGGCGGUCUCCUCCUAAAGAGUAACGGAGGAGCACGAAGGUUGGCUAAUCCUGGUCGGACAUCAGGAGGUUAGUGCAAUGGCAUAAGCCAGCUUGACUGCGAGCGUGACGGCGCGAGCAGGUGCGAAAGCAGGUCAUAGUGAUCCGGUGGUUCUGAAUGGAAGGGCCAUCGCUCAACGGAUAAAAGGUACUCCGGGGAUAACAGGCUGAUACCGCCCAAGAGUUCAUAUCGACGGCGGUGUUUGGCACCUCGAUGUCGGCUCAUCACAUCCUGGGGCUGAAGUAGGUCCCAAGGGUAUGGCUGUUCGCCAUUUAAAGUGGUACGCGAGCUGGGUUUAGAACGUCGUGAGACAGUUCGGUCCCUAUCUGCCGUGGGCGCUGGAGAACUGAGGGGGGCUGCUCCUAGUACGAGAGGACCGGAGUGGACGCAUCACUGGUGUUCGGGUUGUCAUGCCAAUGGCACUGCCCGGUAGCUAAAUGCGGAAGAGAUAAGUGCUGAAAGCAUCUAAGCACGAAACUUGCCCCGAGAUGAGUUCUCCCUGAGACUUAGAGUCUCCUGAAGGAACGUUGAAGACGACGACGUUGAUAGGCCGGGUGUGUAAGCGCAGCGAUGCGUUGAGCUAACCGGUACUAAUGAACCGUGAGGCUUAACCUUACAACGCCGAAG